GCAGUUAGCUCAGUUUGGUUAGAGCAUCUGGUUUACACCCAGAAGGUCACAGGUUCGAGUCCCGUACUGCCC
rnacentral:tRNA from 1 species